AUUGAACGCUGGCGGCGUGCCUAACACAUGCAAGUCGAGCGGUAACAGGUGUAGCAAUACAUGCUGACGAGCGGCGAACGGGUGAGCAAUGCUUUGGAAUCUGCCUGAUAGUGGGGAAUAACCAGUCGAAAGAUUGGCUAAUACCGCAUACGCCCUUCGGGGGAAAGCGGGGGAUCGCAAGACUUCGCGCUAACAGAUGAGCCAAAGUCGGAUUAGCUAGUUGGUGAGGUACCGGCUCACCAAGGCGACAAUCCGUAGCUGGUCUGAGAGGACGACCAGCCACACUGGGACUGGGACACGGCCCAGACUCCUACGGGAGGCAGCAGUGGGGAAUAGUGGACAAUGGGGGAAACCCUGAUCCAGCGACGCCGCGUGUGUGAAGAAGGCCUGCGGGUUGUAAAGCACUUUUAGUGGGGACAAAAAGCUCAGGGCUAACACUCCUGGGUCUUGAUUUAACCCAAAGAAAAAGCACCGGCUAACUCUGUGCCAGCCGCCGCGGUAAAAC
rnacentral:rRNA from 1 species